rnacentral:lncRNA from 1 species
CAAGAAAGUGUGUCCUUUCCAGGAUCAGCCAAAAGCCUAUGCUACAGAUCUCUGGUCUUCGGCGCACUUUCAUGACUUCAGUUCCAGUGACAAAACCGAAAUGGCCAUAUUACUGAGUGGCCGCUGCAUCUUUCACCCCACUGUCUCACUUUGCUGGAAGGAAAACUCUGUUCCAGAGGCAACCUGCCAAGAUAUCCCCAAUUCCACAGUCCCCGAAGCCAAGCAGAGUUCUAUGCCAUUCGAGUUUGAAGACACCGACAGGCUUACAAUUCCUAUUGCAGUAAGUAAGAUUCAUUCAUUCAUUCAUUCAUUCAUUCAUUCAUUGGUUC